ACGCUCGACACCUACGGGAGGAGCAGUAGGGAAUCUUCCACAAUGGACGCAAGUCUGAUGGAGCAACGCCGCGUGAGUGAAGAAGGUUUUCGGAUCGUAAAGCUCUGUUGUUGGUGAAGAAGGAUAGAGGUAGUAACUGGCCUUUAUUUGACGGUAAUCAACCAGAAAGUCACGGCUAACUACGUGCCAGCAGCCGCGGUAAUCUGAGCGGGCGUGGCGAAGGC
rnacentral:rRNA from 1 species